rnacentral:rRNA from 1 species
AGUGAACGCUGGCGGUAGGCCUAACACAUGCCAGUCGAACGGCAGCACAGUAAGAGCUUGCUCUUACGGGUGGCGAGUGGCGGACGGGUGAGGAAUACAUCGGAAUCUACUUUUUCGUGGGGGAUAACGUAGGGAAACUUACGCUAAUACCGCAUACGACCUACGGGUGAAAGCAGGGGAUCUUCGGACCUUGCGCGAGUGAAUGAGCUGAUGUCGGAUUAGCUAGUUGGCGGGGUAAAGGCCCACCAAGGCGACGAUCCGUAGCUGGUCUGAGAGGAUGAUCAGCCACACUGGAACUGAGACACGGUCCAGACUCCUACGGGAGGCAGCAGUGGGGAAUAUUGGACAAUGGGCGCAAGCCUGAUGCAGCCAUACCGCGUGGGUGAAGAAGGCCUUCGGGUUGUAAAGCCCUUUUGUUGGGAAAGAAAAGCAGCAGGUUAAUACCCCGCUGUUCUGACGGUACCCAAAGAAUAAGCACCGGCUAACUUCGCG